ensembl:lncRNA
UAAGAGGUCUGUGGGUCUCUUGUAAUAGGACAACAUCUGCCUGUAGUUUUUCGAGUUGGUUAAAUAUUUUUAACCUCUUUUCUCUGGAGCCAGCUCCAUUUAUAUUCCAUGUAAUGAACCUCAGUGUACCCAUAGAUGUUUGUGUAUAACUAGGGAUGUAUGCUGUGUGCGUCGCUUAGACAGGUGGAGAGAAUACGUCACUUGUUCAUAAAUAAAGAGAAGGAGAGAGAGAAAAAAUGUGUGGCGAGAUGCUCCCUGAGUCUGACUUUGUGUAUGCAUAGUUACUAAUAUGAGUAGGCUUGGCUUAAGUGUGUGUAUCCUAAACGACUGUGUGCACUGUCUGACUGAAGUAAAUGUGCUGCCGUUGAGCGCAUGGUGCGUAUGUGUCGAAAUAAAGGAUGUUUGUGGAUGAGUGUCGAAGCAGGUGAUUGAGGCAGUGAAAAGAAUAAAGAAAGAAACCAAGGACAGGGGUGAGCAGCAUAAAACCAACAGGUGGAAAAGAGAGGAAAGAAAAAAAAAACGAGAAGAAAAAAAAACAAAAACAAAACGUAAACAUUCCAAUUAAAUCACUGACGGAGAGUGACGGUGUUAAUUCUGCUAUGAAAGCACACUUUAAGAUGCGAUUUGAUACUGGUAAGUUAAACAGAUGUUAAUGCAAGUUAGUGUGAGUGGAUAGGGAAAGGGUGUAGCUGAUUCUUAUCUGGUGUGAGGUUAAUACAGCCACGGAGUGAAGUUGGGGUCGCGGUGGAGCUGUCCGUCCAUGUACAGCUGGUCCACAGCGAUGACAGCGCGGGAGCCCUUCUGGAUGAAGCCGCGUCGGAUUGGGAAAAGGACCCUGCGUCGUUCCAAGAUCUCUUUGGGGAACUGGUUGUUCACGCUGAAGUCCGUUCCUUUUAAUUCCCUGCCGCGGCUUUUCACAUGUUGCUUUUGUUUGAAGUGGCCGAAUUUGGCCACGAUAGGACGUGGUCUCCCGGCCGUAGCCCGAAUGGGGCCGAGGCGAUGUACCCGAUCGAAGACGAUGUUCUUCACAGUGUCCUCCGGCAGCUUCAGGUGGGUUUUGAUGAAGCUUUUUACCGUGGUCUCCGCGUCCUCUCCAGCGGCUUCUGGAAUACCAGAAAAUACCAGAUUAUCACGCAUGCUACGAGCUUGUAGAUCGAUAACUGUUUCUUUUUUUUUUUUCUCUAUUGAGCUGGGUAACAUUUUCUGUGAGACAUUUCACCGACUCCCUUAGCGUGGCAUUUUCAGCAGCAAGCGUUUCCACCUGCUGCUGGCUGUACUCCAGGGAUUCUCGCAAGCAUUUAAAUUCUCGGUGAAGAAUCUCCACCAAGGACAGCCUUGCGUCGAAACUGGACAAUCGCUUGUCGAUUGACUCCAGUAUGAUCACCACAACAUAACCUAACAGACCUACACCUUAGUUCACAGAUUCACUUUGUCUAAGGUGUAUUUCUGGGAUUUCACACAACCCAGGAUUCAAAUCAUGAAUGGAUAAUGGGCUUGGAUUUACAACAUUAUGAAUGAAAUGUGCUCUAUCUGGAAGCAGCAGG